AUUGAACGCUGGCGGAAUGCUUUACACAUGCAAGUCGAACGAUGAACCUUAGCUUGCUAAGGGGAUUAGUGGCGAACGGGUGAGUAAUAUAUCGGAACGUGCCUUGUAAUGGGGGAUAACUAGUCGAAAGAUUAGCUAAUACCGCAUACGCCCUGAGGGGGAAAGUAGGGGAUCUUCGGACCUUACGUUAUAAGAGCGGCCGAUAUCUGAUUAGCUAGUUGGUGAGGUAAUGGCCUACCAAGGCGACGAUCAGUAGCUGGUCUGAGAGGACGACCAGCCACACUGGAACUGAGACACGGUCCAGACUCCUACGGGAGGCAGCAGUGGGGAAUUUUGGACAAUGGGCGCAAGCCUGAUCCAGCCAUUCCGCGUGAGUGAAGAAGGCCUUCGGGUUGUAAAGCUCUUUCGCAAGGGAAGAAAACUUACCAUCGAAUAAAUGGUGAGGCUGACGGUACCUUGAUAAGAAGCACCGGCUAACUACGUG
rnacentral:rRNA from 1 species